GUUGUUUUGCCCGUUCUCCACCUCACACCCUCUCCCGACGACGAGCCAAAUCCCGCACGAAAUCCCUAGCUUCGCCGCGAGCGCGGGCGAUGAGAGAGCCGGCGGCGAGUCUAAUACAACGAGCGCGGCGACGCCCCCCUGGCGAAGGAUCCCAUAGCAGUUCGACGAGGCGAGGGCGGGGCGUGUGUCGUACAAGGAGGAGAAGGCAGCGGCGACGGGGGAGGGGGUGGAGCUGGUGGUUCAGCGGGAGGCGGCGACGAGCACCCGGAGAGCGAGAUCCCGCUUGCUUCGAACGACCUAGGCAAGGCAAGGCCACCUCUUUUUUUUUUUCUUUUUUCACGAACACCCGUGUGGAAGUUUUAUUAAAAAUGGAGGGCUCCACAGAUGAACAGACUGGCGAGGGUGCAACAAGAGUAAUACAAGGCCAUAGGCGUCCUAGGAAGAAGCCAGUUCAGGAAGGUCGAAACAGAGCAUCGCCAGCAAGGCUAGUAAAGUUAAACAAGAGCUUGGACCAACGGCAGAAGGAUCUGAUAGAAACUUACCUUCUGGGAGGCAUAUUAAAGACCGAAGCAACAACAAUGCCCGCAGACCUCAGCAGGUGGGUAAUGGCAGAUCUACGACCCAGAUAGCGAGUUCAUCGUUGUCCCAGGCAGGGGCGAGAUCCCCUUAACAGCCAAAAGCAUCCACCACACCUUGGGUCUUCGCAAUUCAGGGGAGGAAGUGUUCUACGGGUGGGAUGCAGAAGCAAUAUCUUUCAUAAACAGCAGGUUCGGUUUUCAGAAUGGGUGCGCCCCCGAGAUAACAACUGUCUGCACUAUGAGUAGGAAACUUUCCUAAAAUGCCAGCCACCAGACCCUUCCGCAUAGCGCGCGGGCGCUACGUAGCAGCGUCCAUAACUAAAUAUGUCAGCCAUACUAACUUAAUUCUUUCAGCAUGCAAACAUACUAGCUCAACAUGCAUGCAACCACAAGAAAGUAUCACCUCAAUAUUCAUUCAUGGAAAAAGACUUUGCGUUGUAUUAUAUAUGCUAUUUUUAUUCAGUAAAUAUUUUCAAGUAUACAAUAACUAAAUGCAACAAACCGUAUGUAUUUUCAAUAUCAUUUCUCAUAUUAUUAAUCCAAAUAUUCAUGUUUCAUACAAUAAAAUUUCCUUGAAUAUUGCAAACAAUUCAUGUGUCAAUGUGCGAGGUAUAAUCUAAUUUCUUGAAACGGUGCACCUACUUUCUGGUAAAAGAUUAAAGCAAGUGAGAUAUAUGGGGUAUAGAUAUUUUAGUGGUAGUACAUUGUCCAUCCUCUUGCUCUGAUGGUUGGCUGCCGGUGCUUCUUCCCGCUUCGUAUUCUGUUGCUCCACACUUCGCCGCUGGAGGAAGCACAAUAUGUAGCAUAAACAUCGAUCUAUCAUGGUCUCUACCUUUCUCUCAAUUCUCUUGUUUGCCUAGUCAGUGAUGCUCCCCCUCCCCCCCCCCUUCUCUUUACUCACCAUCAAUCAUGUUUCCGACACCGUGAGAUUGACCCAGUGGAAUCAUGCAUGAGACAACCGUGGAUAAGAGUGAGAACCUAGUUCGCUUGAACUAUGGCAGACGAGGAGGAUCUCUGGGGAUCAGUUGGUUAUCUUUUUGUUGCUUGAUGAAAUCUGUUUUGUUGAACUUGCAGCAGCUUAUUCAAUAUAGAGGAAAUGGAAUUACGCCUACAAGUAGCAAAGGUCAUUUAUGGUCACCCUGCCCAAAUAAAUAGAUAAUAAAUUUUGCCAUCACAUGCUUGAGUAGCUUCUUCUUUUGCUUGAUUAAGCCUUGAAAACUUGCAGUAAUAUGAUUGGAGACUUGAAGUGAGUGGCAAGAGAUAGCAAAUAAAUUAUAGAAUAAUGUCAAAUCUUG